CUGCGCGCGCGGACUCGGAAAACAUUAGUCACUUCCGGGGAGGCUCCAAUAAGGUUAGACAUGGGCGAGAAUGAGCACGUCUGGGAAGUGGAGCUUUAUGAGCACAUGAUCCGGGGACUCCAGAUCUAUCUCUGACCCCGCAGUCAGAGUGGCCCCCAGUUACGCACGGGUUCUGGCAACUAAGUAUGACCCAUGAAAUUUGGCUGGUGACUUUGAGCCCUUACUACGUGCCAUAACUUCAUUUACAAUUAACGAAACUGAAGCUAAACGGGGAAGGGACUUGCCCAGCAUCGCACAAAGGGGCAGACUGCGAUCUGAACCCAAUUCUGGAGCAUUCGAGCUGUCACUGACCCGCUGUCAGUGAAGCUCUAGCCCAAGGAGUUUCUCCCCGAACCUGUUUGCCCUUCGCGAGUUGUCUGUUGUCGGAAAUUUUCUGCACGUUUCCAUUUGAGAGCGCGGUGCUUCCUCCUCCCGGCUGCGGAAGGAGGCCGGCUCGGCGCCGAGAACACCCAGGUUCCCCGCUACCUGGUGCGCUCCCCGCACAGGCCCUCCCGCUUCGGGCUUUCUGCUCCCAAGGCUCGCUCCGGCCCAGCGUCGGAUGCAGCAGGCCAGGAGACUACCACCAAGAAAAUAGGAAGAUAGGCCACAAGACAGAAGUUACUCGUCAUGUAUAAACCAACAGAGGCCAGGUCUCCACGAUUUGUCAACAACUCUGACAAAUCAACUAGGAAAGGACAGAUGGCUCAAUGGGAACAGGCAGCAAGGAGCGGACAUGGACGCGGCCAUAUGGUAAUAUGCUUUAUCGCAUGAAGAAGUGUGAAUGAGGACCAACGAGCUAUGUGUCACAACUACUAAGUCGGCUGAAUCGAGAGGUUGGACAGUCCUAAGUGUUGCUGGUAGUGUGGCAGGUCAGUACAACUACUUAGGGAAACAAUUGGAUGUUAUCUGGAAAAGGUGGACAUGUGCAUAUCCAGAAAUUCCACAGCUUGGAACCACACCUGAGAAACUUUAGCAUAUGUAUACCAGGAGACAUAUUUCAAAAUGUUCUGGAAAGCAUCCAACAAAAGCAGAGUGGGAAGUGACCUAAUGCCCCAGGUUGGGCCUGGGACCAUGCCCAGCCACUAGCAGCACAGCAGACGUCACAUCCAACUUGAGCAAGCGAACGGGUGAAGAGGAACAUGGGCAGGAACCCCAAACCCAUGGGAACAAAACAUGGCUUCAGGGGUUGCAGCUCCACUGAACUCAACUAUACAAGAGAUGAGAUCAGCGAAGUGCCGACCCAGAAACAGCCCAGGGUUCGUCAACAGGUGAACUGCAGGUAAAGGAGGGGAAGGGAAGAACCUGUAGAUAAGAGCUCAGGGUCCCUCAAUGGCACUGCUGACACUGGGGCCAGGUCAUUCUCUGUGGGAGGCUGUCCUGAGCACUGCGGGGUGUUGAGCAGCAUCCCUGGCCCCCACCCCUUUAAUGCCAGGAGCACCCCCAAUGUGACAACCACAGAUAUCCCCAGAUACCACCUGAUGUCCCUCAGGUGAGACUCUGGGUGUGGAGUAAUAAGAUUAAGAAAAACGAAAGUACUGACUUUUUUCUAAAUCCGGCUGGCUUUUGGGUUAUGUGUGGGACAGGAUGGGGAGGGUCCCCAGAAAGGCAUGAGAGCGCCUGCUCUAAUUUGGGUUGCAUGGUAGGUUCCCAGGGGGCUCGGCAGUUAGGCAGCCUUUUCACAUACCAACACCACAUUACUGUGACAUGUGUGGUGUAUUUUUCACAAGGUUGAAGAUUUGGGGUGGAAGCCAGGCUCAGCUUGGCCACUGCCUGGUGGGGAGUCCCUGGACCCCGCUCUGGUCCUUGAUUUCUCCUGCUGUAGCGCGGUCGGCAUUAACCGACCCUGGGACUGGCCAUGAGUCCUAGGACCCCAAUCCCUGGUGGGUGCUUGCGAGCCUUGCCACGUUCUUGCCUCCUGCUCUAUAAAGAUCUCCUGCUAGGCGGACAGCUGUCCUGCUCAAAUGAAGGCCUCCCCUUGCUGGCCCCAGCACCUUCAAACAUGCUGUCACCUCCUUGGUCUUGAAAUAAAUCCUCUAGACCUCA